rnacentral:rRNA from 1 species
UUAAGCGACUAAGCGUACACGGUGGAUGCCCUGGCAGUCAGAGGCGAUGAAGGGCGUGCUAAUCUGCGAUAAGCGCCGGUAAGGUGAUAUGAACCGUUAUAACCGGCGAUACCCGAAUGGGGAAACCCAGUGUGACUCGUCACACUAUCAUUAACUGAAUCCAUAGGUUAAUGAGGCGAACCGGGGGAACUGAAACAUCUAAGUACCCCGAGGAAAAGAAAUCAACCGAGAUUCCCCCAGUAGCGGCGAGCGAACGGGGAGGAGCCCAGAGCCUGAAUCAGCAUGUGUGUUAGUGGAAGCGUCUGGAAAGGCGCGCGAUACAGGGUGACAGCCCCGUACACAAAAGCGCAUGUGCUGUGAGCUCGAUGAGUAGGGCGGGACACGUGGUAUCCUGUCUGAAUAUGGGGGGACCAUCCUCCAAGGCUAAAUACUCCUGACUGACCGAUAGUGAACCAGUACCGUGAGGGAAAGGCGAAAAGAACCCCGGCGAGGGGAGUGAAAAAGAACCUGAAACCGUGUACGUACAAGCAGUGGGAGCACAGGUUUACCUGUGUGACUGCGUACCUUUUGUAUAAUGGGUCAGCGACUUAUAUUCUGUAGCAAGGUUAACCGUAUAGGGGAGCCGUAGGGAAACCGAGUCUUAACCGGGCGUUAAGUUGCAGGGUAUAGACCCGAAACCCGGUGAUCUAGCCAUGGGCAGGUUGAAGGUUGGGUAACACUAACUGGAGGACCGAACCGACUAAUGUUGAAAAAUUAGCGGAUGACCUGUGGCUGGGGGUGAAAGGCCAAUCAAACCGGGAGAUAGCUGGUUCUCCCCGAAAGCUAUUUAGGUAGCGCCUCGUGAAUUCAUCUCCGGGGGUAGAGCACUGUUUCGGCUAGGGGGCCAUCCCGGCUUACCAACCCGAUGCAAACUGCGAAUACCGGAGAAUGUUAUCACGGGAGACACACGGCGGGUGCUAACGUCCGUCGUGAAGAGGGAAACAACCCAGACCGCCAGCUAAGGUCCCAAAGUCAUGGUUAAGUGGGAAACGAUGUGGGAAGGCCCAGACAGCCAGGAUGUUGGCUUAGAAGCAGCCAUCAUUUAAAGAAAGCGUAAUAGCUCACUGGUCGAGUCGGCCUGCGCGGAAGAUGUAACGGGGCUAAACCAUGCACCGAAGCUGCGGCAGCGACGCUGAUGCGUUGUUGGGUAGGGGAGCGUUCUGUAAGCCUGUGAAGGUGUGUCGUGAGGCAUGCUGGAGGUAUCAGAAGUGCGAAUGCUGACAUAAGUAACGAUAAAGCGGGUGAAAAGCCCGCUCGCCGGAAGACCAAGGGUUCCUGUCCAACGUUAAUCGGGGCAGGGUGAGUCGACCCCUAAGGCGAGGCCGAAAGGCGUAGUCGAUGGGAAACGGGUUAAUAUUCCCGUACUUGGUGUUACUGCGAAGGGGGGACGGAGAAGGCUAUGUUGGCCGGGCGACGGUUGUCCCGGUUUAAGCGUGUAGGUGUGUGUUCCAGGUAAAUCCGGUUCACUUUAACACUGAGGCGUGACGACGAGGCACUACGGUGCUGAAGCAACAAAUGCCCUGCUUCCAGGAAAAGCCUCUAAGCAUCAGGUAACACGAAAUCGUACCCCAAACCGACACAGGUGGUCAGGUAGAGAAUACCAAGGCGCUUGAGAGAACUCGGGUGAAGGAACUAGGCAAAAUGGUGCCGUAACUUCGGGAGAAGGCACGCUGACACGUAGGUGAAGUGAUUUACUCAUGGAGCUGAAGUCAGUCGAAGAUACCAGCUGGCUGCAACUGUUUAUUAAAAACACAGCACUGUGCAAACACGAAAGUGGACGUAUACGGUGUGACGCCUGCCCGGUGCCGGAAGGUUAAUUGAUGGGGUCAGCGCAAGCGAAGCUCCUGAUCGAAGCCCCGGUAAACGGCGGCCGUAACUAUAACGGUCCUAAGGUAGCGAAAUUCCUUGUCGGGUAAGUUCCGACCUGCACGAAUGGCGUAAUGAUGGCCAGGCUGUCUCCACCCGAGACUCAGUGAAAUUGAACUCGCUGUGAAGAUGCAGUGUACCCGCGGCAAGACGGAAAGACCCCGUGAACCUUUACUAUAGCUUGACACUGAACAUUGAGCCUUGAUGUGUAGGAUAGGUGGGAGGCUUUGAAGUGUGGACGCCAGUCUGCAUGGAGCCGACCUUGAAAUACCACCCUUUAAUGUUUGAUGUUCUAACGUGGACCCGUAAUCCGGGUUGCGGACAGUGUCUGGUGGGUAGUUUGACUGGGGCGGUCUCCUCCUAAAGAGUAACGGAGGAGCACGAAGGUUGGCUAAUCCUGGUCGGACAUCAGGAGGUUAGUGCAAUGGCAUAAGCCAGCUUGACUGCGAGCGUGACGGCGCGAGCAGGUGCGAAAGCAGGUCAUAGUGAUCCGGUGGUUCUGAAUGGAAGGGCCAUCGCUCAACGGAUAAAAGGUACUCCGGGGAUAACAGGCUGAUACCGCCCAAGAGUUCAUAUCGACGGCGGUGUUUGGCACCUCGAUGUCGGCUCAUCACAUCCUGGGGCUGAAGUAGGUCCCAAGGGUAUGGCUGUUCGCCAUUUAAAGUGGUACGCGAGCUGGGUUUAGAACGUCGUGAGACAGUUCGGUCCCUAUCUGCCGUGGGCGCUGGAGAACUGAGGGGGGCUGCUCCUAGUACGAGAGGACCGGAGUGGACGCAUCACUGGUGUUCGGGUUGUCAUGCCAAUGGCACUGCCCGGUAGCUAAAUGCGGAAGAGAUAAGUGCUGAAAGCAUCUAAGCACGAAACUUGCCCCGAGAUGAGUUCUCCCUGAGACUUAGAGUCUCCUGAAGGAACGUUGAAGACGACGACGUUGAUAGGCCGGGUGUGUAAGCGCAGCGAUGCGUUGAGCUAACCGGUACUAAUGAACCGUGAGGCUUAACCUU